GGCACUAUAGCCAAGUGGUUACGGCGAUAGAUUUGAAUCUUCAUUAUCUAUUUCUCUUUGAGAGCACAGGUUCGAACCCUGUUGGUGUCG